CCACGAUUUCUUUUUCCACAAAUCAUCUAAAAUCGUGCUCUAUCAAAUAGUGACCUUGUUUUUGUCUGCUGACUACUUUGGCUACCACCUUGCACAUGGCACGCUUUCAUUCGGUGUAACGGAUGUCGAGCCGUUCAUCGGAUGAAACAUUGCCAUCUCGUCGCCACGUGCCAACAUCCGGCUCCAGGGUACCCCUCGCGGUGCCGUUCCUUUUCGCUGAACGAGCGACAAGCGUGAACCGCACUCACGCACGUCCCGACACUCUGGCCCCACAAUGAGACAGCACAUCACUAUCCGGCAGUUUUCGGCGCCGCUCCGCGCUGCGACACUACGAUGCUUUGCCACCCGCGCCGGCUUUGCCGUCUCGUCGCAUGUGUGUCGGCAACGCCGCUCCUCGCUACAGCGUUGUCUCUGUUCUCGCACCAGUACCCCGUCACGCCGCUGUCGACCACUGCCUCCUCUUGGUCUAUAAAAGGCGCAUUCGCGUAGCUCCUCCAUCACUCCCAAUUCAUUUCUGACCAACCCGGCUAUCUUUCCAACCCGAGCUCACUCGCCCUAUCUUUUCCGCCAUUGCUCAUCGCUUACUCAUCCUGACGAGCUCAUCGUACUCUUGUAGUCGCCGAGAGAUCACGAACAACGACAAGAAGAAGCCUGGAGUCCGGUGCCGCGAGAUAGGAAGUUCGUAGCACAAGCAGGAGCCCGGAGUACGUACCGCAAGCACGAGGACUAGUACCGCGAGCCGGAAAUCGAAACGCGUACCGCGAGUUGAUCUACCAGUUUGUUAAGCGAAGGCAAGUCCAACCUUUUCCCUUUUGAUCAUAUUUAUCCCAGUUUUUAAACACAACCCGUAGAAGCCUAUUUAAAAGUGCAUUCAAUUGGUAUAUGAAACCUUGAAAUAUUUUACUGCUUGAUGUAGUUAAAUACCCAAUUGAAAGGCCAUACCUUGCUAUUGUUUAAAUCCUGAUUAUUCCUUGACAACCUAAGAUUUAUCACUAAACAUGAUUAGCUCUGUUUAGAUGGAUGCCUUGAUAAAUAAUACUAGCAUGCUUAGAAUUUAUUUAUGCAAUAUUACUCAUUGUUAUUUAUCAAAUGCAAUUAUUUACAAAUGAGAAAAAUGGGAUGGUUGUUUUAAAAGGUGAGUUAAAUUUAUAAAGUAUAAUGAAUAUUAUGAUGAUGGUGGUGGUGAUUACCCAGAGAUGGGGCGGAAUAGGGUCCAUGCGUAGGACUACUGGAGAUUUGACUCGAGCCUGUGUGGUUCGGUCUUGUAGUUGUCCGCCUUGUCUCGAUUAAGGACCGGUAAUUGGCAAGAUUCUAGUCAAGUAUUACAGUGCAACCAUACGACUAAAUGGGCACUGGCCUUAGCUUAUUAAGUCAGUCGGCCCGAGAGGAUGCUACCGCCCAAGUGCUCAAGGAGCUCGUCGGUGUUGGGGUAGCUAACCCGGUCAGAUGUAUGGAGGCGAGGCGCUCCUACAGUCUAUCGUGUAGCAUAUUUUGGGUCCGGCCGAUGUAACGGCUUUGUCAUGUUAGCUUGCCGACACAUCUAAGGAAUUGUGUAUAUGCGCGCUAGCUACGCGCUGGCAUCAAAGCAAAACAUGUCGUAUGGGUAAAGUAUACAACCUCUGCAGAGUGUAAAACUAUUCGAAUAGCUGUGCUCACGGUCAAGAGCGCUUGAACUAGACAACCGGUUUUAGAGCUUUUAAAAUCUUUUUGAUAAAAUGGGAGUUGGGUCUGAUUUUGGAAAUGUCCGGCAAGAGUGUCGUGGGCUACUGCGGACAGAGUGUCCGGUAGCAUUAAAAUUUGGACUCACUUCUUUUUAUAUAUACUCACAAAUACGAUUAUAUUACUCUUUUGCUAAAACGCCUUUACAAACUUAACCUUGCAUGGGUAAAAAUCUGCUUUUUGCAAAAUAAAUCUCAGCCAAUUCCUUGUACUCCAUUAUGCAUGAACUUUUAUCCCCCUCCGUAGGGCGGGGUUGGACUUGCUGAGUACUUUUAUACUCACCCUUGCCUGCGUUUACAGAUCGCCAGAGAAGUCUAUCCGUAGUCGUCGCGUCCGCACCCGACUUGCCUGUGGCGUGGGACAUCACGAUGCUGAGUUGCGAUGCUGAGUGCUUCAUCAAUGUUGUUUUA